rnacentral:rRNA from 1 species
ACGGCUGCAAAUUUAUAAUCUGGCACCUUCGGUGUCCGAGUUGUAAUCUCUAGAAGUGUUUUCCGCGUUGGACCGCACACAAGUCUGUUGGAAUACAGCGGCAUAGUGGUGAAACCCCCGUAUAUGGUGCGGACGCCCAGCGCUUUGUGAUACACUUUCAAUGAGUCGAGUUGUUUGGGAAUGCAGCUCAAAUUGGGUGGUAAAUUCCAUCUAAAGCUAAAUAUUGGCGAGAGACCGAUAGCGAACAAGUACCGUGAGGGAAAGAUGAAAAGCACUUUGGAAAGAGAGUUAACAGUACGUGAAAUUGUUGGAAGGGAAACGCUUGAAGUCAGACUUGCUUGCCGGAGCUUGCUUCGGUUUGCAGGCCAGCAUCAGUUUUCCGGGGUGGAUAAUGACGGUUUGAAGGUAGCAGUCUCGGCUGUGUUAUAGCUUUCCGUUGGAUACGCCCUGGGGGACUGAGGAACGCAGCGUGCUUUUUGCGAAAGACUCGUCUUUUUCACGCUUAGGAUGCUGGUGGAAUGGCUUUAAACGACCACGUCUGGGGUGCGUCCUUGGGUGGGGGAUCAAAAGGGGGUAGUGAAGAGAAGUGGUGAGGUGGAAAGG